rnacentral:rRNA from 1 species
AUGGUUCCAUCGACCGCGACCGCCGCGGCCGGCGCGGCGGCGGGGUGGCUGGUGUCGCCGCUGCUGCAGUGCCUGGGCGACCGGGCCAGGUCGUUCGCCGACGACCUCGCUCGCUACCUCCCGGGGGGAUCCGGGGACGCGCCCGCCGACCUCGCGCGCCUCUCUGGCGAGCUCCUCCGCCUCCAGAUGAACGCCGCCGACGUCGAGCGCGCUCGGCGCCGGCCCUCCGACCCCGCCCUCGUCGCCUGGCUCCACCGCCUUAGGGACGCGGCCCACGACGCCGACGACCUCCUCGACGACAUCCACUACGGCCGCCUCGCCGACUCCCUCGCCGCCCCACGCCAUAAGCUCCGCCGCAUCCUCGACUUCUCCCUCUCCCUCUGCCGCCGCCUAUUCCGCUCCGACGAGCCCCUCAGUCGGCUCCCCUCCGUCCUAGAGAAUCUCGUCGCCGCCUCCGCGGCGUACGCUGAGAUCGCCCACCUCGUCAAGCUGGACGCGGCCGCCUCUCCGCGGCUUGGUUACGAACCAGCCGUGAACUUUAGCUCUGCCGUCCCGGUCGACGACACUCUCUUUGGCCGGGGCCGCGAGCUCGCCGAACUGAUGGAAAGGUUAGUGGGGUGUAGUGACCCUGGCCCUGCUCAACUCGGGAACCAGGGUGUCCCGGUUGUUGCCAUUGUUGGCGAUGGUGGCAUUGGCAAGACGACGCUGGCGCAGAUGGCCUUCAAUCAUGUGAACAUCCAGGUUCACUUCGAUCUCCAGAUGUGGGUGCGCGUCUCGAGCUGUAUGAAUCUAAUGCAGCUUACUAGGGAGAUACUGCAGGCGGCUACAAAGGGGAAGGAGUCGAAGGACUAUCCUGGGUUAGUCAAUUUUGAUUCUCUGCAAGGCUUGCUGCGUUCUGCUGUUGAAGGGAAGAGGUUCUUGCUCAUCCUUGAUGAUGUUUGGGAUGAUAGUGGAAGGAAGAUUUGGCAGAACGUGGACCAGUGGAAGGAGCUACUAUCACCUCUGAAGAAUGGUCAGCAAGAUAGCAGAAUAGUUGUGACUACACGCAUGAAGAUGGUGGCUGACAUGCUAGGUGUAAGGAUCCCAAUGAUGCUGGCUGGAUUGUGUACUGAAGAGCAUUGGUUGUUGCUCAAGAAGCACGCAUUGGGUUGUGAGAAAAGUUGUGAAUAUCUGCAGUUGGAGGAGAUUGGGAGAAAGAUUGCUUUGAAGCUAGGAGGAUCCCCUCUCGCAGCUAAAGUUAUUGGCGGGAUGCUUAAUGGUGAUCGAACGGCAAGGUAUUGGAACAGUAUCUUGGAGACAGAUAUUCACAGUGACGUUGUCACCACACUUUUGUCUAGCUAUUACCAUCUGCCACCACACCUGCAGUGUUGCUUUGCAUAUUGCAGUAUAUUUCCGAAGAAUUGGAAGUUUGAGCCUAAGAAGCUUGUUAGGAUGUGGAUAUCACAAGGUUUCAUUCAGAUGGAAAAUGGCAGAAGCAUGGAGGAUUGUGGUAAAGAGUAUUUCAAACAACUUUUGUCAAGGUCAUUCUUUCAGAUGGUCAAGCAAGGAAACAAAAGGCUCUAUCUCAUGCAUGACUUGAUUCAUGACUUGGCACAAAUGGUUUCUGAUGGUGAUUGUGGGAGGGUCGAAGGUGACAUGUCCAAAAACAUACUGCCAACCAUCAGACACUUGUCAGUUUCAAGUAACUGUUUAGGAAAGAUAAAAGACCAAUAUGAUCUGAAGAGAUUAAGGACACUGAUUGUGUUUAGAGAUCCUUUGAUGCCCCCGAGUCCUAUCCCAGAUGGUUUUCUCGCUGAGAUAAAGAAUGUGCGCACGUUGGAUUUUACCGGAUGUGAUAUAUCCAAGUUACCUGAAGCAAUUGACGUACUAACUCAUCUACGCUACAUAGCACUUCCUGAUACUAUCAAGACCAUACCUGAAUCUGUGAGCAGAUUACUGCAUCUUCAGACUCUUGAUAUUCCGAAGAAGUGCCAGCUUGAUGGAUUUCCUGAGGGUAUGCACCAGUUGACCAGCUUGCGAUAUCUUGGCAUCGAAUCAAAAUACAUCUCAACAAUAAGAGGUAUUGGUAGUCUGGUUAACCUUCAAGGUUCUGUUGAGUUCCAUGUUAAAAAGGAAAAGGGUCGAACCUUAGAAGAGUUGAAGGAUAUGAAGGAUCUUCAUGGGCUUCUUAGCAUCAAGAAUCUGGAAAAUGUUCAAUGCAAAGAGGAAGCUUGUGAAGCUCAAUUGGCGAAUAAGCAACAUGUGAACAUUUUAAAAUUUGAAUGGAGUGUUGCCAAUUUAGAUUUUGGUCCCAACAUAGAUGCUGAAGUAUUGAACUGCUUACAACCUCAUCCCAAUCUGGAAGAACUUCACAUUGCAAGGUACAAAGGGGCAUCAUCGCCGAGGUGGUUGCAGCUGAAAAUGUUGUCCCACCUGAAAUGCCUGUAUCUAGCUAAUUGCAGAAGGUGGAAGUGGCUUCCUCCUCUGGGGCAGCUUCCAUCUCUGAGGGUGUUGCACCUGAAGGAAAUGAAUUCUGUUGCUGAAAUUGGCCCUUCGUUCUAUGGUGGCUUGAUGGCAUUUCAAUCUCUAAAGGAUCUUGAAUUUGAUGACAUGCCGAAUUUAGUUCGCUGGACAGGAGAAACUGGUAGCUCAUUUCUCCCUUCCCUGCAAAAGUUGAAGAUUUCAAACUGUCCAAAGUUGGAUGAAGUGCCCUUGCUUCCUUGUACAAUAAAAAGAGUGACGGUAGAACGAAGUAAAGUUUCACAUCUCAAGUUGUCCCCUCAUUGUUCAUCUAGAUCAAGCAAAUUCAUGUUGGAAAUUUCUUCCACGAGUAUUCUGAGUGAAGGGUUCUUAUUACAUCAGCAACACCUUGAAGCUACCGAGGUUCUAAACAUUAGGGGUUGUUGGGGAUCAGUGGCUGCCGAAAAAUUUAAGUUCCUAACAUCACUAAGAAAACUACGGUUGUGGCAGUGCGACAUGGAUGAUGCAAAUCUUAAUUUGUGUUUGCAACACUUAACUGUUCUCGCUUCCUUAGAGAUAAUUGACUGCAAGAAUAUCAAAUCAUUUGCCUUGCCAGUUGGUUCAAGGUAUUUUACAACACUUCAACACUUGUGCUUUGAGAAUUGCCUGAACCUUUCCUCCUUGGCUACCUUGGAAAGCUCCAUUUUCCUGAAAAGUUUGAUCAUUGAGAGGUGUCCAAUGGUCACAGCAGUGUCCCUACCUUCUGAGAUGGAGAGAAUGACAUCUCUUAAUAAACUGAGUAUAUCACACUGCCCAGGGUUUCAGUCAUUGCCGAGCAGUAUCCCACCAUCCCUGGAAUUCCUUCAUUUGGUUGAGUGCGACUCGAGGUUGACUGAAGGGUUACUUGAGAGGCAAGGUCCAGAGUGGGAGAAGAUUGCCUUUAUCUCCCAAAUCACAGUAUAUUGA